ACCAUGUCCAAACAUGUUCAAAAAGGAACACAUACACAUAACCAGUAUUUAACUUGGACGUUAAAAUUGAGUACAUUGACUUGUUUGAUAUUAACAAUAUUAAAACACGAUUUUUGUUAAUCAGACGAACCGAGAAGCGACCAUACUAUUAGUUCACCAAGAAUACAAGCUAAACAUAUCGCAGCUUCAUAUACGUGAAUAAUUAUGUUUAUCUAUGAGAUACUACGAA
rnacentral:lncRNA from 1 species